rnacentral:rRNA from 1 species
UACAGAGGGUGCGAGCGUUGUCCGGAAUCACUGGGCGUAAAGGGCGCGUAGGUGGUGACCUAAGCGUGCGGUGAAAGCCCGAGGCUCAACCUCGGGUCGGCCGUGCGAACUGGGUCACUGGAGCAGAAUAGAGGCAGGUGGAAUUCCGGGUGUAGCGGUGAAAUGCGUAGAUAUCCGGAGGAACACCGGUGGCGAAGGCGGCUUCCUGGACUGACACUGACGCUGAGGCGCGAAAGCUAGGGGAGCAAACGGG